UUGAGAGCAGUUACCGUGGACUCCAGCUGUCUAGCUUCCUCGUCGGUAUAUUUUGGCAUUGUUUCGUGCUCAGCAUGCGUCUUCUGGUUUGUUGAUAAUUUGAUGUUUUCUUGUUUAAGUGCUGCGAUCUCCUUAUCUUUUGAGCUUAUGCAGAUAGCAGCUUCCUGCAACCUUUGCUUCAAAGCAGUUGCCGCAGUCUCCAGAUGCCAGGCUUUUUCGUUGGCAUCUCUACGCACUACCUCCAUGUUGUGAAGAUCAGCAGCUUGUCUCUGCAAUGCUGUGAUCAGCUCGUCUUUUGAGCUGCUGUGAUCAUCUCAUCUUUUGAGC